AACCCCAUUUUCACUUUGCCACCUGGAUUCUUAAUGUCCUCAGUGGUCAUUCACAUGGGGGAAAUUAUUUCAUCCUUAAGCACCCCAGUCUAACUUUUGUUUGACCUGGGGCUGUACUGAGGGGACAGCC